rnacentral:rRNA from 1 species
UACGUAGGUGGCAAGCGUUGUCCGGAAUCACUGGGCGUAAAGCGCGCGCAGGCGGCGAUCUACGUCUGGGGUGAAAGCCCGGAGCCUCAACUCUGGGACUGCCUUGGAUACGGGAUCGCUUGAGGAUUGGAGAGGCAAGGGGAAUUCCACGUGUAGCGGUGAAAUGCGUAGAUAUGUGGAGGAACACCUGUGGCGAAGGCGGCCUUCUGGACAGUAACUGACGCUGAGACGCGAAAGCGUGGGGAGCAAACAGG